rnacentral:rRNA from 1 species
UACGGAGGGUGCAAGCGUUGUUCGGAAUUACUGGGCGUAAAGCGUACGCAGGCGGCUAUGUAAGACAGGUGUGAAAUCCCCGGGCUUAACCUGGGAACUGCAUUUGUGACUGGCAGGCUAGAGUAUGGGCAGAGGGGGUAGAAUUCCACGUGUAGCAGUGAAAUGCGUAGAGAUGUGGAGGAAUACCGAUGGCGAAGGCAGCCCCUGGGCCAAUACUGACGCUCAUGCACGAAAGCGUGGGGAGCAAACAGG